AGCGAACGCUGGCGGCAGGCCCAACACAUGCAAGUCGAACGAACCCUUCGGGGUUAGUGGCGGACGGGUGAGUAACACGUGGGAACGUGCCUUUAGGUUCGGAAUAACUCAGGGAAACUUGUGCUAAUACCGAAUGUGCCCUUCGGGGGAAAGAUUUAUCGCCUUUAGAGCGGCCCGCGUCUGAUUAGCUAGUUGGGGAGGUAAUGGCUCACCAAGGCUACGAUCAGUAGCUGGUCUGAGAGGAUGACCAGCCACAUUGGGACUGAGACACGGCCCAAACUCCUACGGGAGGCAGCAGUGGGGAAUCUUGCGCAAUGGGCGAAAGCCUGACGCAGCCAUGCCGCGUGGAUGAUGAAGGUCUUAGGAUUGUAAAAUCCUUUCACCGGUGAAGAUAAUGACUGUAGCCGGAGAAGAAGCCCCGGCUAACUUCGUGCCAGCCGCCGCUGUAACAC
rnacentral:rRNA from 1 species